CCGGACAUGAAGGGUAAGAGUUGAGUUGAAGGGCGCCGGCGUCGGAGUUUUGGACCAUGGCUGACCAUUGCUUCUCCUCUUCAUACACGUCCAAGGACUUGAGGAUUAUGAGGAGGAGCUUGUGGGCUAGGGUUUUCAUCGCCUUCUGGUUGAAUGAUCAUUUUGGCCCUUCCCAACCUCUCACUUCUCUUGUUGCCGUCGCCACAUCCUUGUCAUUGAUGUUAACCCUUUGCCACCAACCCUCAUGCUCUCACCAUUGUCUAUGCAACCUUGUCGUCUCACCUGGUCACCGCUACAUCUUCUGGCAAUCGACCCGCCUCUCGUCGUCGCCUCGCCAUUGCAUCGGAGUUGUGAUCAGGCGAGGCAGCAGCGACAAGAAGAGGCAAUGAUGAGAGCAGGUGAGGCGAUGAGAGGCGAAGAACAAUAGUAAGAGGGUUGGCGAUAGAGGUCGAUUGCUAGAGCAAGGAAGGGAGAGAGAGAGAAGGGAAUAAACAAAAAUUGCGAUAUAUCGCCCUACACACUCGAUCACCUGUAAAACUCUUUUUGUACAAAUAACGGGCCUUUAUUUUAUUACAUGAGAUUAGUUACAUGAAUUCUAACUCCUCUUUCACUUA